CAUAUCAAUAAGCGGAGGAAAAGAAACCAACAGGGAUUACCUCAGUAACGGCGAGUGAAGCGGUAAAAGCUCAAAUUUGAAAUCUGGCUCUUUUAGAGUCCGAAUUGUAAUUUGUAGAAGAUGCUUCGGGUGUGGUUCCGGUCUAAGUUCCUUGGAACAGGACGUCAUAGAGGGUGAGAAUCCCGUAUGUGACUGGAUACCUAUGCUCAUGUGAAGCUCUUUCGACGAGUCGAGUUGUUUGGGAAUGCAGCUCAAAAUGGGAGGUAUAUUUCUUCUAAAGCUAAAUAUUGGCCAGAGACCGAUAGCGCACAAGUAGAGUGAUCGAAAGAUGAAAAGCACUUUGGAAAGAGAGUUAAACAGUACGUGAAAUUGUUGAAAGGGAAGCGCUUGCAAUCAGACUUGCACUUGGUGUUCAUCAGGGUCUCGUACCCUGUGUACUUCAUCAAGUUCAGGCCAGCAUCAGUUUGAGUGGUUAGAUAAAGGCUUAGAGAAUGUGGCCCUCUUCGGGGGGUGUUAUAGCUCUAGGUGCAAUGUAGCCUACUUGGACUGAGGACCGCGCUUCGGCUAGGAUGCUGGCGUAAUGGUUGUAAGCGAC
rnacentral:rRNA from 1 species